AUUGACCUCGGAUCAGGUAGGAAUACCCGCUGAACUUAAGCAUAUCAAUAAGCGGAGGAAAAGAAACCAACAGGGAUUGCCCUAGUAACGGCGAGUGAAGCGGCAACAGCUCAAAUUUGAAAUCUGGCCCCCCCGGGCCCGAGUUGUAAUUUGCAGAGGAUGUUCUCUGGCGCGGUGCCUUCCGAGUUCCCUGGAAUGGGACGCCACAGAGGGUGAGAGCCCCGUACGGUCGGACUAACCAAGCCUGUGUGAGACUCCUUCGACGAGUCGAGUAGUUUGGGAAUGCUGCUCUAAAUGGGAGGUAAAUCUCUUCUAAAGCUAAAUACUGGCCAGAGACCGAUAGCGCACAAGUAGAGUGAUCGAAAGAUGAAAAGCACCUUGAAAAGGGGGUUAAACAGUACGUGAAAUUGUUGAAAGGGAAGCGCUCCUGACCAGAAACUUGGGCCGGGCGGCUCAGCAGGGGCUCGCCCCCUGUGUACUCCGUCCCGGUUCCGGGCCAGCAUCGGUUCUCGCUGGGGGACAAGAACGGUGGGAACGUGGCCCCCCCUCGGGGGGGUGUUAUAGCCCGCCGUAACGAUACCCUGGUGGGGACCGAGGAUUCCGCGCUUCGGCAAGGAUGCUGGCAUAAUGGUCAUCAGCGACCCGUCUUGAAACACGGACCAAGGAGUCGUCCAUUAGAGCGAGCGUUUGGGUGUCAAAACCCGUAGCGCGUAAUGAAAGUGAAAUUCUAGGUGAGAACCUCCUCGCGGGGGCGCAUCAUCGACCGAUCCUGAUGUUCUCGGACGGAUUUGAGUAAGAGUUUUAACGGACGGACCCGAAAGACAGUGAACUAUGCUUGUAUAGGGUGAAGCCAGAGGAAACUCUGGUGGAGGCUCGCAGCGGUUCUGACGUGCAAAUCGAUCGUCAAAUAUGAGCAUGGGGGCGAAAGACUAAUCGAA
rnacentral:rRNA from 1 species